UACGUAGGUGGCAAGCGUUGUCCGGAUUUACUGGGUUUAAAGGGUGCGCAGGCGGAUAUGUAAGUCAGUGGUGAAACCUCUAGGCUUAACCUGGAAAUUGCCGUUGAUACUAUAUAUCUUGAAUGCUGUGGAGGUAAGCGGAAUAUGUCAUGUAGCGGUGAAAUGCUUAGAUAUGACAUAGAACACCUAUUGCGAAGGCAGCUUACUACGCAGAUAUUGACGCUCAUGCACGAAAGCGUGGGGAUCAAACGGG
rnacentral:rRNA from 1 species